CUCAACGAGAACAGAAAUCUCG
rnacentral:snRNA from 1 species